AGCGAACGCUGGCGGCAGGCUUAACACAUGCAAGUCGAGCGGGCAUAGCAAUAUGUCAGCGGCAGACGGGUGAGUAACGCGUGGGAACGUACCUUUUGGUUCGGAACAACUGAGGGAAACUUCAGCUAAUACCGGAUAAGCCCUUACGGGGAAAGAUUUAUCGCCGAAAGAUCGGCCCGCUUCUGAUUAGCUAGUUGGUGAGGUAAUGGCUCACCAAGGCGACGAUCAGUAGCUGGUCUGAGAGGAUGAUCAGCCACAUUGGGCAUGAGACAAGGCCCAAACUCGUACGGGAGGCAGCAGCGGGGAAUAGUGGACAAUGGGCGCAAGCCUGAUCCAGCCAUGCCGCGUGAGUGAUGAAGGCCCUAGGGUUGUAAAGCUCUUUUGUGCGGGAAGAUAAUGACGGUACCGCAAGAAUAAGCCCCGGCUAACUUCGUGCCAGCAGCCGCAGUAA
rnacentral:rRNA from 1 species